UCUUCUGCCGUCCUAGACAAGUUAUUCAAUUUAUUCAUGCAAGCAGACUUAGAUGGCAUUUUUGCAUGCAAUGAUUAUAUUAAUUUGCUUAAAUGGAACUACCUAGCUUGUUCCUUAUGACACCUCCAUCCAACAGGUUUAUUAUGAAGGAUUGGUUGUCUUAUUAUGCCAAAGCCACCCUUAGCAUUUAGAAGCCGAUUACUGCAUUAUUAGGGCUAGCCCAUUCUUUAUAAUAGACUGUUCUAUUGGCUCCGCUUCGAGGGCCUGUUUUUUGCCACUUAAAUGAUUAGAGGCUGU